AAAAAUGCUGAAAGAGGAUUGUAGCUAACGUUAGCACUAACAGUGACUGAAUGACUAUAGUUACUGUGCUUGAACCCACCUGGCAAACAGCUGCACAUAGAUUGAAGACACGUGAGGGAGAAGAGGAGCCAUUAGCGACGCAGUUGAGCAGGUGAAAAGAGGAGAUGAACAGGAUUAACAUGACUUCUGUAAAAUGGAAUCAAAAGAAACCAUCAUGCCGUGAUGGAGAAUCUGAAGAAGCUAACAUAAAGCAGGCUAAUUGUGAACCUGAGGCUGAGGAGCUGGACUGGGACGGAUACAGCGCCACACUGCAGCAGAGGGUUGCCACUACGAACGAGAGUGAGGUGCGGCAGCUGUUGCAGACAUUGGAUUACAGAGAAGAGGAACUGAGGAAGCUUCAAGAGGAGCGAGAACAUCUGCUAGAACUCAGCCAGCAGGCCAUUGAGGACCUCCAGAGUGAGGAGGAGAAGGUAGAGACUCUCACCAAACAAAGGAGCCAGCUGCAGAUGCACGCUCAAGACUUGGAGUACCAGUUGGAUGAAGAGCGUCAGCUGCGUUUGGAGCUGGAGAAGAACUAUAGACCUCAGACUAAGAACGGACCAGGAACCAUGGAGCAGAGGAACGGGCUGGAGGAGCACUUCAAAUGG
ensembl:lncRNA